GACUGACCAACCCAACAAGUUCCUGCAACGAGUUGAGUCGGUUUGGAUUGCAACCACUAAUUAAUAUAUAGAAGAUGGAUCGGGUGGCUUUGGAAGUAAAUUUUUAUCCAAACCGACUUGUGAACAAUCCCACUAUUAUGUAUGAAAUGCUUGUUGGAUACCCACUUUUUUAUUGAAAUGAUCCUAUGUCAAUGUGUAGAAAAGUAGAGUAAUGCAUUGCUAAUUUCCUCUAUGUUUAUCAUGCUAAAUCUUGUAAAAUCUUAUAACAUUUUAUUUAAUUUGUG
rnacentral:misc_RNA from 1 species